ensembl:snRNA U6 U6 spliceosomal RNA
GUGCUUACUUCGGCAGCACAUGUACUAACACUGGAACGAUACAGAAAAGAUUGGCAUGGCCUCUGGGCAAGCAACACACAAAUCUGUGAAGCAUUUCAUAAUUUU